CACUUCUCUCUACUUUCUCUCACCACCCAAGGUCCCCCAUUGAACACCAAGUUUCGAGAAUGAUUAGGUCUCCAAUAUUCAAGUUUUAUUCCAUCAUUCUUCUUGGAUUGUUAAGGAGCAUUUCACAUGUAGGCUUCGGAUUGGAUUCAAAUUCAGGCCAUUCAAGAUAUCUCAAGGUCAUUACAAGGAAGACAAUGAUAUAUUUCCCAUGUUGUUGGCCAUGACUACAAGAAUGGUAGAUACAAGAAGAGUUUAAGAAGAUAUAUCUAAUGUGGGUGCCCCUCCCCAUGGAAAUCAGGUUCCUCUUCAACAACAAGCUCCUCAAGGUGACCAAGCUUCGUUCAAUCCUCCGGCCAUGAUGGACGGAGAGAUAAGGUCAUCUUUUCUAAGUGUUGUUCAAGCUAUGACUAUUCAAGCUCAAGCUAUGAUGGAUCAAGCAAACCGGGAAGUUGUACCUUGUGUGAACUAAAAUUCUAGUACCAUGGCUUCUUCCUUGAGGGACUUCACUAGAAUGAACCCUCCAAUGUUUUUUGGGUCUAAGGUGAAUGAAGAUCCAUAAGACUUCCUUGACGAGGUAUACAUGAUCUUGUGUGCUUUCACACCCGAACUUUGGAAUCCGAAUUCAACCACCGUCUUUAAUCUCCUAGAGGUCAUAGACAAGCCUCUUUUUUGCA